ACCUCUGGCACAGCUGCCGCUGCUUGUUGACCAGCCCAGGAAUGUUGUCGCAGAUCACCCUUGCGCCCAGGGCCCCAAUGUACCUGCAGCAAAGAGACAGUUGUCCCAGCGUGAACAUACUGCGCUUAGAGGCUUAAGCGCUACCAGGAGAUGGCUGUGAGCUGCAGAUACCACAGAGCGUUGCAGGAAACACUGUGCUACUGUACAUCCCACUGGACCUGCGCGUUCCUCCUUCUCUUCCUUGUUUUCCUGCAAGGAGCAACUUGCUGGCAGUCUGCACUGUACCAGCCGAGGCUGGAGACUUCAGGUUACAAAGGCAAGUGCUUUCAGAGCUUGAGAUGUGAAGGAGGUAAAGUGGUCCUAGCUUCCUGCUAUUCUUUCUCUUCUCUCCAAGUAGAUCUGUUGCACAAACACAUCCAGUGGUGCAGCUGAAGUGGGCUCUUUCUCAAUAGCCUGCAAGCGCCGCCUGCUCCAAUGCAUUGGGAGAACAGGAGAGAGCUGUCACAUGUUGGCUCCCAGUUGUUUUUCUUGUUCUAAGAGUCUGCUGACUUCUACUCUUAUAAACAAGGAGAAACCUAAAUUGCUUCUAAGAUAAACAUGCAAAUCAGAGGCAGACGCAUCUAUUUACUUGGCAGCAUGCAUUUUGUUUUAACCCUCUUCCAAUGCUUGCCUCUGUGCAGUAUGUAUUUUGCUUCUGCACUUUCCAUGAGAGCAUGCUUCGCUUCUCAAAGGACGUGCAGAACUCCUUAGGGUGCUCUUGAGGGACUGUGUGGCCCAUGUCACGUCUCUGCCCUCUGUUAAGUCUAGUCUGGCACUAAGUCUCAAGGACUUGGGGUUUUCCCACCUACAUCGUUUCUAUUCCCUUGUACAUGCAGUUUCCUGUGGGUUCAGAGGGGAGCCGCACACUUGCAUGUCGGCUGUGAGUGCUUAGGUUCUGCUGUGUGUUGCCAGGAACAGAUCCCAACGUGCCUCGCUCCUGCUCCAUCUUCAUAGUGCUUGGGAAUCUUUUUCUGGAACAACAGAACUGCUUUUCUGCUUUUGGCACCCACAUAGUUCACGCAGCUUCCCAGUUGCCAAGAUCUUCAAUAUGAAAGACCAAAAGCCUCAGAAAGAAUGCUGCACCACAGGUGUGGAAGUGGGCAGGCCAAGGGCAUGGCCAGAGCUUAAGGCACCUUAACAGUAGGCAAAUGGAAAUUUCUACACUACUGGAGAAAGCAAGACUCUCCAGAAGUCUGGGCUAACCUGCCCCAAAAAUCAGUCAGUGUAACUCCGGGCAGGUGAGCAAAGGCAUCGUGCAGCGGCUGAGAGGUUUCUCGUGCUCCCAGGAGCCCCAGUCUGCAUUGAUGAGGGCUUGGGAGACUUCGUUCUCCAAAAGCAGGCAAUAAGAGGGAGGCGUAACUAGAGAUCAGAGUAGGAAGAUGCCGCAAAUGACUAAAAGUGGAAUUCGGUUUGUUUUUGCUUAAAAAUAAGCAACCCCCUGCAACACAGACCUCAGGGCACCUACAGAUUUUUGUUAUUCAGAGCUGUUGGUAGUAAUUUUGUUUUAUUCCUAAAACAUUACUGGCUGAACCACUGGUUUUGUGAGGACAGCUCUCCAGUCCCCAAGCAGGCAAUGGCAAUAAAACGAACCCUUGCUAUAUAUACCCGAAUCCUGAAGGUCACCAGCCACCUGCAAAACAGUGUUUCUCCUGGGAGGAAAGUAAGUUGACCCUGCACAUAGCAGAGGGAAAGUGCUGGUGUUUGGUAUCUCUGUAGCAUGCCUGGGCUGCUGUUUUGUUUGUAGUAUGGCUGGCGUGAAAAUUACUGAAGAAAUAAUAGCGAUUCUGGGGCUCCAGGCACUGUAAUGGUCAGGGAUAGGCUGCUAAUUUGAAAGCAGUAUGUUUCCUCUUUCUGAUGUAAUCGCAGGACUUGGCUCAUCGCGUGAUAUCAACAUUUGCUUGACAUGUCAGUGUGGGGGUACUUCAUUUAUGGCUCCCCUGAACUGGUGGAGAUUCUGCUCCUCUAAUAUGAACCACGUGCUCUGACUUUGCAGAAAAGCUGCCUUGGCUGCCUCCCCGGCCGGCGCAACAAUCCAGUGAGAUGUGAGACCUGGCAGAGGCUUGUUCGGGGUUGUGCCUAUCUUCUAGACUGAUCGGGAGAUAGCUGGUGGAAAAAUCUCCCUUGGAAAAUGAAUUUUUGAAGAAAUGAAAAUAUUUCAUGGGAAAGAGUAAUUUUCAGUGGCAUCAAAGCUUACGAGUUUGUAACAUCUUCACCAUAAUGUCAAGGUGUUGUUCAAAAAUAUACUAAUAUUAUAAUUCAGUUCUUAAUGAAAAUUAUAUCCCUAUGUUAGAUAAACUGCGGUAUCUAAUAUUUAAUUUUACACCAUUUUAUAUGGUAUUGAAAGAAAAUAUUUGAGCGUUACUUGAUUUCAAGAGGGAAUUUUUUGAAAUCGCCUUUCUGAGGCAAAUCUCAACAUUUAUUUUUUUUGCUUUAGAGUUGAAAGAAUAGUUGAAAAGUUGGAAGUUCCCACCGAGGAGAAAUCAGGGUUGCACCAGUGCAGUAAAGGCACAAUUUUAAAUUAGAUUUAUACAAGCAAGCUUAACUUAAAAUCAAUAUCAUAGGUUAAAUUUACACUGGGAGAAGGGUAUCCAUGCAAGCGACUUUGCUGAUGCAAUAAAACAGACUUUAAGCCCAUCUGAUGCUCACUCGGGCAGUUCUGAAUAUAUCCUGAAUAUAUCCUAUUACUCUUAAGUACAGCAGUGCUGCUCAGGAAAGAACCUCUCCCCUGUGAGGAUAAAGGGCUGCUGUCUGCCUGCUUCGGCAUGUGAGGAGCUGAGGCACCAGGCUUUUCUCUGCGUUAUUUGUUAAUGCAGAGAGAGUUAAUGGCUGAAAAAUGCUGGCAGGAUAGCAUUUCUCCUUCCCGUGGCUUCUCUCAUCCUGAGGAUCCCAAAACAUUCUGCAGACGGUUUGUAUCUCCUGGUACCACCACAGUGCAGAACGGGGGUAGAAGUGCGGCGGGGAUGCUGUCCGUGCACAGCAGGGUGGCAGAAGGAGGUGCCCUGGACAGACACGGCAGCACAAACCCUGCUCCUGACAGUCAGCUCGAUGGCCUUGAAAUCAUCCAGAGGUGCUCCUCUGACCUGGACGAGCUUUGGAGCAGGUUCUCGGAAAAGACGGCAGGCUCGGCCGUGACAUCCCAGCUAAUAGGCUUUCCACUUGCAAAUUUAUCUUGCACGAUGUUGCCUCUCACCAUCGAUUGCAGGGUGCUCAAGUUACUUGCUCCCCCCUCAAGACAAUUUGGGCAGCUUAAAUCCCUGCCCCCCCGCCAUGUGAACUACUUGCUGUGGUUUCUGAGAGGCCCUGUCUUUCAUUACUGUAAGGAAAGUGAUGUAGGCAGCCUUGCCCUACGUACUGCUGCACUUAGCCAGACCACGUUUCAGACAGAAGAAAAGCAGCCAAGGUAUUGUUCCUGGCCGCGUGGUAAGCAUGCCUCUGAACCCGAUACCCUCUGAUGGCCACCGAACGCCUGUCAUACUUAGCUCUCCUACCUAUUAUUACUCAGGCGAAUCACCUCAGCAUCAUUUGGAAGAAAUGCAAAACAUCGAAUGCCUCCACAGCUGAACAAUUAAUGCCAUCCGAGUCUUGUACGAUGAACUGUAAGCUGGGGCUCGGUCAUGGCUAGGGACCGCAGGACGUUCUCCUUAUCUGGCUGGGAGAGGCGCUGGCUCUGCUCUGCUCACCGAACAUGGCACGGCAGAGCGAACUGCUUGUGCUGCCCGUUUGGGAAUAUAGUCCUGGCAGGGGCAGAGGGCCAAUACCUUCAGCUCCACUUGUCGCUUACAGUUUUGGGGGCUUUUUCUGUGUCUUUCUGUCAGGUAAGCUGAGUGCUGUGCACAUCCUGAAGCUUCUCUCCUGUGCCUGGGUGAAGCGCAGCUGGCCUGCAGUAGCCCAUGCUCCUUCGGGCCUGUCUCUGCUCCGCGCCCAAGUGCCGUGCCUGCGAGGACAGCUCCGUCUCCAGGGCCUGUGCCUAGUCUUGUCCUCUUCUCCAGGAUCAGUGUUGGGGGGACCGUUGUACCGAUGCUGCCUGUUCUGGGAAAGCUGAGCGCUCCCCGCGCUGUUGCACGGCAGGUCUCCGUCUCCUCGCGGGAGGCUCUUUGCUCCUUGCACCUUCUGGUCCAUAGGCUGAGGCCGUGAACUUCUGCUUAGAACAGCUUUGCUGUUGUCUUCUGCUGUGAGAGCAGAGCUGAGAUGAAAGCACAGGCUGGCUUUUCUGUGGGAUCAGACACUGCUGGAGUCCUCCUCCUGGGAAAGCUUAUUUCUCCAUUGCUCUCAUAACCACUUUGAUAAUCCUGAAAGAUCAACUUGGGGGCCAAACUGUGUUGGCUUCUUUUCUCUUUCCUUCCCAUAAAAUCCUUAUUUUGGUGGGAGGCUGGGGAGCCCUAGGCAGCUAUUGGAGACACAUCUUUUAGAUAGGAUCAAAUCCAUCAUUCCUGCCUUUUUGUCUGAUAAAGAGAGCAAAUUCCGAAGAGCCUGACAACAUUUCACCUCCUCAAGUUCCUUGCAUACUUCCCAAGGAUACUGCACUUUCCUUCCUUUGCUCUCCAUGGCUGUGGGUAGAGAAUUUAUAGCAAAUUGCAAAGCACUUUGGGUUGCAAGGUGCUACAGACAUUUGAGAUAUUAUUUUAUUAUUAUAAACCCUGAGUAUUUUAUUAAGCCCCACUGGGAACAGGGCCAUCCUGGCCUGCUGGAAUUGUUAACGCCUUGGAAUGAUUAAUAGUCCUAAUUUCCUCACUUAGAGCCACUACUCUAUAUAUUGAGAGUGUUAGUCUCACUUGAAUAAUUUUUAAUAGCAUAAUGCUGGGCCACUACUAGCACCAUUCAGUGUGCACGUUUUUCAUUCUUUGCACUAUGAUCUUUUUUCUCUUCUUGUAUGUCAACAUUUUUCCAACUGUGUUCCUUUGACUCCUUGUUGGAGUCCCCUCUCUGUGAUUUCCUUGCCUUAGGGAGUAGCUUGCCGAAUGAGGUUGCUGUGGAAAGGGUUAUUACUUGAAAUGUCUUGGAAGUGCUGCACUUCCAUGGGUGUGGAACCAGUGCCUUGCGCUGUCCUGAGUGUAGGGCCAUGCUACCGUGCCGUCCCCUUGGCUGACAUAGGAGUACUUGUUGUCAGAGUCCAGUGUCUACAGUCACAUGGAAACUGAGGUCUAGUCUGCUUGCUGUUGUAUGAAGGCAAGAUGUGGUGUGUGCAGGGUGUGUAGCAGGUCACCAGCCAAGCCUCUGAAGCCUUGGACCACUGCACAGCAAGAGAUGCAAAAUUAGGGAGUAAAGCACAGGGAGAAAAGGACUCUGGUGCCUUCUGAAAUAACGACCAAAAUCUAGGUCAGUGAAGGGUGAAAACUAUUCCUCUGAUGAUUUUUUUGGCAAUGUAUGGAGGCAAUACAAAUUGCUUAUCAAAAGUGCACUUUAUCCUUAAAUACCAUUUUUUUCCCUCCACAGAUCUCAAAGCACUUUGCCAAGAGGAGGGGAGGUAAUAGAGUCUCUGGCUUUCUCAUACAUGUGAUUGUCCACGGCACAGUGCAGACUUGCAGCUUCCUUGUAUUUCAGCUAAAGGUGAGCUGCUCACCCUGUGGAUGAAGGCUGGAAAUCAGAGCUGGGAUCCCUAUCCCUACGGCCUCCCCUUUCCUGCUCUGCUGAAGGGAAGCGACUCCAUUAUUUUCUAUUCAUAGUUCCAGGAGCAAAACUGGUCCAUUCCCUGGCCACUAGUGUGGGACUCGGGAGUCUGGAUUAACAUCCCAACUGGGCCAUAUUCCCUGUGUGAACCCGAGCUAACCAGUCCUUUCCCUCCAGCCCUGUUUCUGAUGGUGAAGUAGGAAGGAUGAUUGCUCUCCUGCCCUGGCACAUCUUGUGUGUUGGGCUGCAAGCAGCUCACAGUGGAGAUUGCAUGUUUUUACAGGACGUAGCACAGCACAGAUCUCAUCUCAGGGUGCUUUGUUAGGCACUGCCGAAAACAGUAUUGCUAGUAAUAAAAGCUAGGGAGUUUGUAAGAGCAGAAGAAUUUUCUCUUGUGUGUUUCUGUUUCAGAAAGAUUUCCUAUAGGUGAAAGUGACCCUAAUGAAAAAUGAACUAAGAAAUACAAUUAGGAUUAUUAUAACUGAGUACAGUGACUGAGAGAACCCAUCUGUUCCAAUAUACUCCCAACAAAGAACACCAGAACUGCUACAAAGGCCAGAGAGUUCAUUUUCCAUCAGUCUGAUGUUACUUUAAAACUUGUAUUUCAAAGCGCGGGCUGCCUGGAUAGCUGGAGUUAUAGAGCACUUCAGGAUAAAGACUUCCUGGUCACUGACCUCCUGCUAUUAUUACCAUGCAAAGCACUUUGCAACAGCCGACGUACAACUGCUGUGAACCCUCGGGGCCAUGCUACCGAGCCCCAAAGCAUCACUGCCGCGAUGGCGCGUCCUCUUCCCGGGAACGUGCCCAUGACAAGCUGACGCCGAGGGCGUGCGGAAGCGGAGCUGCUCUGCGGCUGGGGCAGGGUUUGGAAGGGGGCAGCGAUGGGUUCACCACCGAUGCACGGUGCUCGGAGCCCUUGCGAAAGCUGCUGUGGCUGCUGCAAGAGCAGCCCUGGCCGGGGCUGCUGCGAGUCUGCCCUCGAGGCUGGCGCAGAGGGGAGCCAGCACCACCCACACAUACCCCAAAGGGUUACGCCGGCUUACUGGGAAGUUCUCUUCACGCAGCUGUCUUUCCCUUGGCUUAAUUUCAAACAUUCCUAUUGAUGCUAUUUCCCCUCCCACACACCUCAAUAUGGUGCCUGUUUAAAUGAGUCCCUCUCUCUCUCUCUCUCUCUCUCCUAUAUAUCCUAUAUUCAGCCAUACAUGUGGCUUGAUUUUCCGUCACUCUGUGCCCAUCCAUUGCACCUGGACCAAGACUCGGUGCUGGUACCAUUGCAGAAAAGCAGCAAAUCCCUGAAAUGAGUAGCUCUGGAAGCCACGGCUCCUUCCUGUACAUUGGGGCAAGAAAGUCCCCUCCUUCGCGUGCACCUGCUGGAUUUUGGUGCCAGAGCUCCCGUUGGGAAGGGCGUGCAGCAGCUCCGGAGGCUGAUCUGGCACAGGGACCGUGAUGCACCUUCCUGCUUCAGUUUGCCCUGGCCCAUUUUUCCCUGCACGUGGAAACAGAGCCCCUUUCCAGGCCACGGAGGGGGAUGAAGAGUGAGCGUGUCCGAUGCCGGAAUCUGGGCUAGCGUCCCCUAAGAGCGCUCUGCCGCGGCACUCCUCGCCUGCUCCUCUCCGCGUGCUUUGGGACGUGAAGAGUGUACCAACGCACGCGUCGGCAGAGGGCAAGAUCUCCCUCAACAUGCCUGGGGCCUCAGAGACCCACGUGGCCGCUAGCGUCCUACCCACUUCUGAACCAGAGGACAAGCUUGCACUAGUCUUCCUUCCACAGAUUUGUUUUAUCUCUUUGGGAGCCUGAUGCCUCCCAUCUGUUCCAAUGCCAGACGAAAUUAAAUAUUUGUAGUUUCCAAGGGCUGUGGUUAGCAAUAAACAAGUUAGCUAAUGAGGAUUUGGUGUGUCUGGGAGGUGGGGGGGAUUCAUGUGGGUUUGCAGGCAAGUGGGGAUGUGUGAGGGUGGGGUGCGCGGGGUGUGUGUGCGCAGACUUGUGUACAUUUUUGUUUAACCAAACCUUCAGUUUAAAAUGGCUUUCCACACUAGAGCAACCAGCGGAGCUCUCAAUAGCGAAUAAACUCUACUUAGUUAUUUACA